CGGACAAAUCACGUCGAAACACCGGCUCCCGUUCGACCAUAUAAAUUAAGCAACCUCAAGCUUGGUCAGUACGUAGAUGGGUGACCGCUUGGGAAUACCAGGCCCUG